ensembl:lncRNA novel transcript
GUCCACUGGGAAUCCAGCACAAUGGUGACUGAGCCCUUUGUUCUCUCUGUUUCCAAGAGUCACAUUUCUGUCCUGUGAAUCUCGUCUAGAAUUCUCGGACUCCUUCCUCUUGCAAAAACACCGCUUAGAUCAUCUCAUUCAAGAAAGCCUCUGUCCACCUGAAAAGUGCAUAUUGGCUCAAAGUCUCCAGUGCUCAGAACUUUGAGAAUCUUCCUAUGCCUUCCAGCAGCAUCCAUGCAGGUAUCAAGGAGGCCCCCAGCCAAUGGCUGACCAAGAUGAUAUUAAAAGGAUUUGCCUAUUUCCACUCCAAACAGGAGCUGCUUUAAGGAACAAUAUUUGCUCUGAAGACUGUCCAUUGGACUGGCUCAGAAUUUUUGGGGCCAGGGUCAUGGUCUCAUUGUUGGCGUUGCCCAAUUCUACCUAUUUUUCUUUCAUUUUUUUCACAAGUGUUACUACCCAAUAUAAUUUUGCAAUUGUGUUUUUCCUCAGACUUUUUGGAGUAUAAUCGACAAAUAAAAAUUGUGUAUACUCAGGGUCUAUAGUGUGAUGAGGUGAUAUCUACAUACAUUGUAGUGAUGUGUAAUGAUUACCACAAUCAAAUUGACCAACUCAUCUGUCAUCAAACGUAGAUAUCUUGCCUGUGUGUGUGCAUUUAUGUGUGUAUGGUGAGGAUACUUAAGAUCUUCACUGUUAGCAAAUUUCAAGUAAAGAAUGCAGUAUUAUUAACUAAGUAACCACACACUACAUUAGAUCUCCUGUACUUAUUCAUCUUAUAACUCAAAGUUUGUAACCUUUGAUCAUCUCCCCAUUUCUUCCAAACCCGAACUCCUGGUAACCAUCAAUCCACUCUCUGAUUCUGUGAUUUAGACUAUUAAACUCCAUAUAUUAGAGACAUAAUACAGUAUUUGUCUUUCUGUGGCUGGCUUAUUUCACUUAGCGUAAUGUUCUUUACAUUCAUACAGGCAGGAUUUUCUUUUUUUUUUUUUUAAUGGGUGAAGAAUGUUUCAUUUCACACACACACACACAAACACACACACAAUGACAUAUCAUAUAUAUAUAGUGUGUUUGCACAUAAAUAUACACAAUUUUAUUUAUAUAUUAUAUAUAUUUUUUAUCCAUUCAUCUGUUGCGGACA